rnacentral:lncRNA from 1 species
AUUUACUGUCUAUACACACUAGGUAAGACCUGGGCGGACCAUCCCCUGUAUUUUGGUUAGUGCACCAGGUGGUGCUAAGUUAGGUCAGUAGUGGGUAGGUCACCAGGUGGUGCUAAAUUAGGUCAGUAGUGGGUAGGUCACCAGGCGGUGCUAGUUAGGUCAGUAGUGGGUAGUUCACCAGGUGGUGCUAGUUAGGUCAGUAGUGGGUAGGUCACCAGGCGGUGCUAAGUUAGGUAAGUAGUGGGUAGGUCACCAGGCGGUGCUAGUUAGGUCACCAGGUGGUGCUAAGUUAUGUCAGUAGUGGGUAGGUCACCAGGCGGUGCUAGUUAGGUCAGUAGUGGGUAGGUCACCAGGUGGUGCUAAGUUAGGUCAGUAGUGGGUAGGUCACCAGGCGGUGCUAGUUAGGUCAGUAGUGGGUAGGUCACCAGGAGGUGCUAAGUUAGGUAAGUAGUGGGUAGCUCACCAGGAGGUGCUAGUUAGGUCACCAGGUGGUGCUAAGUUAUGUCAGUAGUGGGUAGGUCACCAGGCGGUGCUAGUUAGGUCAGUAGUGGGUAGGCAGG